UCAUGCAUGUGCUCAGAAGUGCACAGGUGAC
rnacentral:piRNA from 1 species